CGAGGGCGGAGGUGGUGAGCGCGGUUGGAACGAGAGCUGGCCGCCGGCGGUUUUGAUGCCGGAGCGUGUUGUUGGCGCGGCACCGCUGCACAGGGAUCUCAGUGGCGUGGUGAACCCUCACGAGUGCCUUGAGGGAGCCGUGGGAUAGAAGGGCGAAGGCCUGAGGGUAGAAAAUACCAGUGACAUCAGAAGCCCAGUGUCUUAGUAUAACAGAAAGUUGGAUCUGUUGCACUUUUAGACAGAAUUAUCCGGAGGAUGUGACAAUGACAGAAAAAAAAUGUGCUUUGCUAUCUUUAAAACUGAUUUGCUCAGCAAUGCUGGAGUAUUAUGGACUUGGAAUAUGGAA
rnacentral:lncRNA from 1 species